rnacentral:rRNA from 1 species
AUGCCUCAGUAACGGCGAGUGAAGCGGCAACAGCUCAAAUUUGAAAAUCUGGCCCCCUCGGGGGUCCGAGUUGUAAUUUGUAGAAGAUGCUUCGGGGUGUGGCCCCGGUCUAAGUUCCUUGGAACAGGACGUCACAGAGGGUGAGAAUCCCGUAUGUGACCGGUGGCCUCCCCCGUGUGAAGCUCUUUCGACGAGUCGAGUUGUUUGGGAAUGCAGCUCAAAAUGGGUGGUAAAUUUCAUCUAAAGCUAAAUAUUGGCCAGAGACCGAUAGCGCACAAGUAGAGUGAUCGAAAGAUGAAAAGCACUUUGGAAAGAGGGUUAAACAGUACGUGAAAUUGUUGAAAGGGAAGCGCUUGCAACCAGACUUGCGCGCGGUCGAUCAUCCGGGGUUCUCCCCGGUGCACUCGGCCGUGCGCAGGCCAGCAUCGGUUUGGGCGGCCGGACAAAGGCCUCGGGAAUGUGGCUCCUUCGGGAGUGUUAUAGCCCGAGGUGCAAUGCGGCCAGCCCGGACCGAGGACCGCGCUUCGGCUAGGAUGCUGGCGUAAUGGUUGUAAGCGGCCCGUCUUGAAACACGGACCAAGGAGUCUAACAUCUAUGCGAGUGUUUGGGUGGCAAACCCAUCCGCGUAAUGAAAGUGAACGGAGGUGAGAACCCUUAAGGGCGCAUCAUCGACCGAUCCUGAUGUCUUCGGAUGGAUUUGAGUAAGAGCAUAGCUGUUGGGACCCGAAAGAUGGUGAACUAUGCCUGAAUAGGGUGAAGCCAGAGGAAACUCUGGUGGAGGCUCGCAGCGGUUCUGACGUGCAAAUCGAUCGUCAAAUUUGGGGCAUAGGGGCGAAAGACUAAUCGAACCAUCUAGUAGCUGGGUUCCUGCCGAAGU